GCUGGGUUGAAACUUUUACAUUUUGCUUCUCAGAUGUUGGUCUUGGCCAGGUUGUUGACAAAUGUUUAAUGGACGGAGCUGAUGAGUAUCUACAGUUGAUGGCUCUCUUUACAACAAUCAUGCACCAAGUCUGUCACGAAGUACACCAACGUCUAUGGUUUAUGGUGAACUUGGAGCUUAUCCUUUGAAUAUCUCAGUUAAGACGAGAAUGUUGACCUAUUGGUCUCAAUUGAUUAAUUCAAAAGAAAACAAACUAAAUGUAAUAACUUAUAAACUGUUAUGUCUAAACCAAUACCGUAAUAAUAAUGUUCCCUAUAUACGUUAUAUACAACAAUUAUUAGAUGAAUGUGGUAUUAGCUAUGUGUGGAAUAUCCAGUAUACCCAGGAAUUAGAUACUUCUUGGAUAAAGUCAUAUGUAAAACAAACACUCCAUGAUCAGUUUAUACAGCAGUGGGAAAAUGAUGUAUUUAAUUCUUCUAAGUCUGGUUGUUACAGAAUUUUUAAAAACAAAUUUGGUUUUGAAUGCUAUCUAGACGUUCUUACAGAUAAAGAAAGAAAUACUUUUUGUAAGUUCAGAACUACAAAUCAUAGACUGAUUAUUGAAACUGGAAGGUGGAAUAAUAUUGAACGCCACGAAAGAAUAUGUACUUUUUGUAAUAGUCAACAAAUAGGAGAUGAAUUCCAUUAUCUGCUAGAAUGCCAGUCAUUAGCUGCGCAUAGAAAAUUAUAUCUAAAUAAAUAUUAUUAUACAAGGCCGAACAUAUUAAAAUUUAGAGAUCUUAUGAACUCAAACCACGUAAAUACAUUGAAAAAACUCUGUAAAUUCAUUAGUAUUAUCUUUAGCAAUGUGUCCUCCAUAGCAUGAUGUUACACAUCAUGUUCAUCUUGACUUGAUCUUUUUUUUUUUUUUUUUUUUUUUUCUUGAAAUUAUAUAAAAUGGUAUCAUGCGUAACGAUAUGGUUAAAUAUCAGAUGUUUUGAUAAACUAAUUGAUACAGUCUGCGUGUGCAUACUUUAUACACUGGCUGAACAACUGUAUAUAACUUUUGUAUUGUGUAAAUAUGUUUUCUCUGUACUGUUAUGUAUGGUUAAAGAGAAAUAAAUUGAAUUGAAUUGAA